GGGGGAUGCCUAGGUUCUCAGAGGCGAUGAAGGACGUGCUAAGCUGCGAAAAGCUACGGGGAACUGCACAGAAGUGUUGAUCCGUAGAUAUCCGAAUGGGGCAACCCGACAGGUUGAAGACCUGUCACCGAGAGGAGCAAACCCGGGGAACUGAAACAUCUAAGUACCCGGAGGAAAGGACAUCAAUUGAUACUCCCCUAGUAGCGGCGAGCGAACGGGGACCAGCCGAGCCUUGAGCGUGACUAGAAUGUGCUGGAAAGCACAGCCAUAGCGGGUGACAGCCCCGUAUAGGAAGCGUGAUGGGACGUAUUAAGUAGGGCGGGACACGUGAAAUCCUGUCUGAAGAUCGGAGGACCACCUUCGAAGGCUAAGUACUCCUUACUGACCGAUAGUGAACCAGUACCGUGAGGGAAAGGUGAAAAGCACCCCGACGAGGGGAGUGAAACAGUACCUGAAACCGAACGCCUACAAUCAGUCGGAGCCCCCUUGCGGGGUGACGGCGUACCUUUUGUAUAAUGGGUCAGCGACUUAUGUUCAGUGGCGAGGUUAACCGUUUAGGGGAGCCGUAGGGAAACCGAGUCUGAAUAGGGCGAUUUAGUCGCUGGGCAUAGACCCGAAACCGGGCGAUCUAUCCAUGAGCAGGUUGAAGGUGCCGUAACAGGCACUGGAGGACCGAACCCACUG
rnacentral:rRNA from 1 species